rnacentral:rRNA from 1 species
UACGUAGGGGGCGAGCGUUGUCCGGAAUCAUUGGGCGUAAAGAGCGUGUAGGCGGCUUGGCAAGUCUGACGUGAAAGCCCGCGGCUCAACCGCGGAUUGUCGUUGGAAACUGCCUCGCUAGAGUCCGGAAGAGGAGAGCGGAAUUCCUGGUGUAGCGGUGGAAUGCGCAGAUAUCAGGAAGAACACCCGUGGCGAAGGCGGCUCUCUGGGACGGUACUGACGCUAAGGCGCGAAAGCGUGGGGAGCAAACAGG